rnacentral:rRNA from 1 species
CUGGUUGAUCCUGCCAGUAGUCAUAUGCUUGUCUCAAAGAUUAAGCCAUGCAUGUCUAAGUAUAAACAAAUUCAUACUGUGAAACUGCGAAUGGCUCAUUAAAUCAGUUAUAGUUUAUUUGAUGGUACCUUACUACAUGGAUAACUGUGGUAAUUCUAGAGCUAAUACAUGCUGAAAAGCCCCGACUUCUGGAAGGGGUGUAUUUAUUAGAUAAAAAACCAAUGGCGGGCAACCGUCUUGCGUUGAUUCAUAAUAACUGCUCGAAUCGCAUGGCCUUGCGCCGGCGAUGCUUCAUUCAAAUAUCUGCCCUAUCAACUUUCGAUGGUGGGAUAGAGGCCUACCAUGGUGAUGACGGGUAACGGGGAAUAAGGGUUCGAUUCCGGAGAGAGGGCCUGAGAAACGGCCCUCAGUCCUAAGGGACGCAGCAGGCGCGCAAAUUAUCCCAUCCCGACACGGGGAGAUAGUGACAAUAAAUAACAAUAUAGGGCUCUUUUGGGUCCUAUAAUUGGAAUGAGUACAAUUUAAAUCCCUUAACAAGGAUCAAUUGGAGGGCAAGUCUGGU